GAGGAUUUCUUAAAACAAAUAGACCUGUGAUGGGUUGGAGCCCCCUUCUGGGAUGCUAUCUGAUGUACUGGGAUUUCACUGAGCCUCUCUUACU